AUUGAACGCUGGCGGCAGGCCUAACACAUGCAAGUCGAGCGGAUGACGGGAGCUUGCUCCUGGAUUCAGCGGCGGACGGGUGAGUAAUGCCUAGGAAUCUGCCUGGUAGUGGGGGACAACGUUUCGAAAGGAACGCUAAUACCGCAUACGUCCUACGGGAGAAAGCAGGGGACCUUCGGGCCUUGCGCUAUCAGAGGAGCCUAGGUCGGAUUAGCUAGUUGGUGGGGUAAUGGCUCACCAAGGCGACGAUCCGUAACUGGUCUGAGAGGAUGAUCAGUCACACUGGAACUGAGACACGGUCCAGACUCCUACGGGAGGCAGCAGUGGGGAAUAUUGGACAAUGGGCGAAAGCCUGAUCCAGCCAUGCCGCGUGUGUGAAGAAGGUCUUCGGAUUGUAAAGCACUUUAAGUUGGGAGGAAGGGCAGUAAGCGAAUACCUUGCUGUUUUGACGUUACCGACAGAAUAAGCACCGGCUAACUCUGUGCCAGCCGCCGCGGUAAAAC
rnacentral:rRNA from 1 species